rnacentral:rRNA from 1 species
UACGGAGGGUGCAAGCGUUAAUCGGAAUUACUGGGCGUAAAGCGUGCGUAGGCGGUUAUCUAAGUCGGAUGUGAAAUCCCCGGGCUCAACCUGGGAAUUGCAUUCGAUACUGGAUAGCUAGAGUUCGGCAGAGGGAAGUGGAAUUUCGGGUGUAGCGGUGAAAUGCGUAGAUAUCCGGAGGAACACCGGUGGCGAAGGCGGCUUCCUGGACCGACACUGACGCUGAGGCGCGAAAGCUAGGGGAGCAAACGGG